AUUGCCUUAGUAACGGCGAGUGAAGCGGCAACAGCUCAAAUUUGAAAUCUGGCCCCAGGCCCGAGUUGUAAUUUGCAGAGGAUGCUUUUGGCGCGGUGCCUUCCGAGUUCCCUGGAACGGGACGCCAUAGAGGGUGAGAGCCCCGUCUGGUUGGAUACCAAGCCUUUGUAAAGCUCCUUCGACGAGUCGAGUAGUUUGGGAAUGCUGCUCUAAAUGGGAGGUAUAUGUCUUCUAAAGCUAAAUACCGGCCAGAGACCGAUAGCGCACAAGUAGAGUGAUCGAAAGAUGAAAAGCACUUUGGAAAGAGAGUUAAACAGCACGUGAAAUUGUUAAAAGGGAAGCGUUUAUGACCAGACUUGGGCCGGUUAAUCAUCCAGCGUUCUCGCUGGUGCACUUUGCCGGUCCAGGCCAGCAUCAGUUCGCUGCGGGGGAUAAAGGCGUCGGGAAUGUGGCUCCUCCGGAGUGUUAUAGCCCUUCGCGCAAUACCCUGCGGUGGACUGAGGUUCGCGCAUCUGCAAGGAUGCUGGCGUAAUGGUCAUCAACGACCCGUCUUGAAACACGGACCAAGGAGUCGUCUUCGUAUGCGAGUGUUCGGGUGUAAAACCCCUACGCGUAAUGAAAGUGAACGCAGGUGAGAGCUUCGGCGCAUCAUCGACCGAUCCUGAUGUUCUCGGAUGGAUUUGAGUAAGAGCAUACGGGGCCGGACCCGAAAGAAGGUGAACUAUGCCUGUAUAGGGUGAAGCCAGAGGAAACUCUGGUGGAGGCUCGCAGCGGUUCUGACGUGCAAAUCGAUCGUCAAAUAUGGGCAUGGGGGCGAAAGACUAAU
rnacentral:rRNA from 1 species